rnacentral:piRNA from 1 species
GUCCGUCAUGAAGGUUCCCGGAUGUGGGUC